GUCACGAUAGCUCAAGUGGUAGAGCAGCAGCCUAUUGAGCGGAAGGUCGUGGGUUCGAAUCCCAAUCGUGACA
rnacentral:tRNA from 13 species